CUUCAAUUGUUUGAAUGACAGCAUUUGCUACCAUGGAAACCCUUAAAUGAGGAAGAUUGAUUUUUGAAGACAAAAAGUCUGGAAGAUGAUAUGAAUGUGGUUUUCUUACUUUUAAACAUCGUGUAAAUGUGAUGACUGCAGAUUUGGUAGCAGAAUAUACAGGAACAAAUGACAAAGAGGCCAAGUGCAAAGUAUUAGAUUACACACCUGACAUCGAAGAGAUAUUGAUAAUUUCACCCCCAAGGUUGCCUUUGUUUUUGUCCAUCAUGUCAAUUGCAAGCAUUGUAGCUCUUAUAACUGCUUUCUUAACAAGAUAGAAUGUAACUAAUGAAUGUCUAAUAAACCUCAAUGAUGAUGAGUUGAUAAAUAUUUCAAAAA